UACGGGGGGGGCAAGCGUUGUUCGGAAUUACUGGGCGUAAAGGGCUCGUAGGCGGCCAACUAAGUCAGACGUGAAAUCCCCAGGCUCAACCUGGGAACUGCGUCUGAUACUGGAUGGCUUGAAUCCGGGAGAGGGAUGUAGAAUUCCAGGUGUAGCGGUGAAAUGCGUAGAUAUCUGGAGGAAUACCGGUGGCGAAGGCGGCAUCCUGGACCGGCAUUGACGCUGAGGAGCGAAAGCCAGGGGAGCAAACGGG
rnacentral:rRNA from 1 species